AGCACAGUUCAGAAGCUCGCAGCAAUUAACAUCAGCUUGAGAACAAAGUUGAACCCUCCGAACUCCAAAAACCAUGGUAAGUUUUUAUUUAUGCUAUCUAUCCUGGAAACUUGAGCUUUGGUUUCUUCCUGCUGAUCUCUAGGGGUUACAGAAUCAUCUCAAAAUCUGAACAAAUUGCAACGACGUGGAAAAAAAUAAGAGUGUCUUCAGCAUAAGUCUACGAACGCAUGCCAUAGCAGAAAUGUUUGCCAGCCACCCACUGUUCGGGCACAUUUCCCCUGUGGACUCCCAGUCAGGAUUGUGCCACUUUAAGAAGCAGCGAGUGGGAGGUGUGCAGGCACUGCAGUACAAACAAGUACCUGGGCACACUGCUGUGCUCACCUCUGAGCCUCACAUAGCUGAGGGGACAGCAGCCUCACAUUCCCUGUUCUGCCCUGCAAGCUCGGCACCACGUUUUCCAGCAAACAUCGAGGAAAGUGGAUAA
rnacentral:lncRNA from 1 species